UACGGAGGGGCUAGCGUUGUUCGGAAUUACUGGGCGUAAAGCGCACGUAGGCGGCUUGUAAGUUAGAGGUGAAAGCCCGGGAGCUCGAACUCCGGAAUUGCCUUUAAGACUGCAUCGCUAGAACGUCGGGAGAGGGUGAGUGGAAUUCCGAGUGUAGAGGUGAAAUUCGUAGAUAUUCGGAAGAACACCAGUGGCGAAGGCGGGGUCUCUGGGCAGUAACUGACGCUGAGGAGCGAAAGC
rnacentral:rRNA from 1 species